rnacentral:rRNA from 1 species
GCAGGGGAUCGCAAGACCUUGCGCUGAUUGAGCGGCCGAUAUCAGAUUAGCUAGUUGGUGAGGUAAAGGCUCACCAAGGCGACGAUCUGUAGCGGGUCUGAGAGGAUGAUCCGCCACACUGGAACUGAGACACGGUCCAGACUCCUACGGGAGGCAGCAGUGGGGAAUUUUGGACAAUGGGGGCAACCCUGAUCCAGCCAUGCCGCGUGAGUGAAGAAGGCCUUCGGGUUGUAAAGCUCUUUCGGCCGGGAAGAAAUCGCAUGGGUUAAUACCCUGUGCGGAUGACGGUACCGGCAUAAGAAGCACCGGCUAACUACGUGCCAGCAGCCGCGGUAAUACGUAGGGUGCGAGCGUUAAUCGGAAUUACUGGGCGUAAAGCGUGCGCAGGCGGUUUUUUAAGACAGGCGUGAAAUCCCCGGGCUCAACCUGGGAACUGCGCUUGUGACUGGAAGGCUAGAGUAUGGCAGAGGGGGGUGGAAUUCCACGUGUAGCAGUGAAAUGCGUAGAGAUGUGGAGGAACACCAAUGGCGAAGGCAGCCCCCUGGGCCAAUACUGACGCUCAUGCACGAAAGCGUGGGUAGCAAACAGGAUUAGAUACCCUGGUAGUCCACGCCCUAAACGAUGUCAACUAGGUGUUGGGUGGGUAAAACCAUUUAGUACCGGAGCUAACGCGUGAAGUUGACCGCCUGGGGAGUACGGCCGCAAGGUUAAAACUCAAAGGAAUUGACGGGGACCCGCACAAGCGGUGGAUGAUGUGGAUUAAUUCGAUGCAACGCGAAAAACCUUACCUACCCUUGACAUGUCCAGGAGCCUGAAGAGAUUUGGGUGUGCCCGAAAGGGAACUGGAACACAGGUGCUGCAUGGCUGUCGUCAGCUCGUGUCGUGAGAUGUUGGGUUAAGUCCCGCAACGAGCGCAACCCUUGUCGUUAAUUGCCAUCAUUUAGUUGGGCACUUUAACGAGACUGCCGGUGACAAACCGGAGGAAGGUGGGGAUGACGUCAAGUCCUCAUGGCCCUUAUGGGUAGGGCUUCACACGUCAUACAAUGGUCGGUACAAAGGGUUGCCAAGCCGCGAGGUGGAGCCAAUCCCAGAAAGCCGAUCGUAGUCCGGAUCGCAGGCUGCAACUCGCCUGCGUGAAGUCGGAAUCGCUAGUAAUCGUGGAUCAGCAUGUCACGGUGAAUACGUUCCCGGGUCUUGUACACACCGCCCGUCACACCAUGGGAGCGGGUUCCGCCAGAAGUAGGUAGCCUAACCGCAAGGAGGGCGCUUACCACGGCGGGGUUCGUGACUGGGGUGAAGUCGUAACAAGGUA